GGGACAUGAUGCUGGCCUUCUACAGUGCUGAUCAGACCUAGUAAGCACAAAGUCGCAAAUAUCCCAGACACCCUGACCACAGACACACAUGUAUACCAAGGACAGGAAUAAAUACCUAAAACUGUAAGGCACUGCCACCUUCUUAGAUGUCUUGGUGAGAGGUCCACUGUUCAGAGGGCACACUGAGAUAUAAGGCGAAGGCCUUUUUGGAUCUGUAGUGUGCUACCUCUUUAAUGGGAAAUCUUAGAGGCUAUCAGUAUUGAAUGGUGACCAGAGGAAAAUACUGCUCUACAUAUAGGUCUGGGCUGUCAUACAAACUGAUCUGCUACUGGGGCCUCAUGACCUAGCAGAUCCAAAAGUAUUCAACAUGUUUGUGGCAGAUGCAAAUGCUGUUUAGAACCUUCGAGAGGUCGCUGUAGAAGCACAAUGCAAAACUUCAGGAUUUUGGAGCAAAACUUUGUCAUCUUUUGCACACACAGUGUUCUCUUUUGAUAGCUCCUGGUGUGCUACUGGACCUUAGUAGAGAUAGAAUGUCUGACUCUGAGCCACUAAGUAACCAUUCAACCUCUUCUGCCCUUCAAGAACUGGGAAAUGUCUGAAAAAACAAGUAAUGAAACGUGUGUAUAGCAGCACUCCAUUACAAGUUGUAGUUUUAUAUACGAGAUUGGUCUCAAGCAAGACCUAAAGGUAAAAGUAAGAGGCUCAGAUUUGCAUGGCUCCUCCUCUUGCUGCAUUAACUGCUGUCUCUCAACGCAAGCAUACUGUAACAUAUUGAUGGAGGAGGAAAAUGCUGAGUCUCGUUUACUGAUAAUUCUAUGUAACAUGCUGGCAUCACCUAAAGUGGAGAACUGCGAGAUUACUGCCCCAUCCAAGAAAACCCUUCAGCAGCCCCAUUCUUCAGGAACCGUGAAGGACUAUGGCAAAGGUAAACACUUUCUUGCUGCCCUAACUGGACCUGGGGAGUUUCAUCAUACUUUCUUCAAUACAAAGAUUGUGAAUACCUAUGAACUCUUUUAAGACAAUUUGUAUUCUGCCAUCAGGCUUCCUAAGCUACCUUGUGGAUCCACAUGCAACAGAAUCAGAACUUUCAAAGCAGUCACCAAACAUGUAACUGACAACUUAAAAAAAAAAAAUUCAAAAUGAAAUUAACAAGCACCAAGGGUGUUAUUAUUCUCUUAUAUUUCUUUUAGCAGCAUUCCAUCACUAUCUGCUUCUUCCACUUCAGAAACCUGCAAAACUGCUGUAGAAUAUCAAGCAGUUGUUCUAGUGAAGUCAAUUAUUUUUUAGCUCACUGCAAAACAUCUGUUGACCCACGUUUUAGUCUUCUGUUCACUCUCUUCCAAGUAUGUACUUGGGAAAACAACAGGACAUCAACCAGGCAAGCUCAUUACCAUUUUCCACAGAUAAAUCUUUACAGUCGGUGUGAAAAAUCUCACCCUGAACUAUGGUGGCUGUAGUGAAAAGAACCAUGGACAGACACAAGUAUGACUUGUGAACAUGAUUCAUAAAGCACCCAGAGCCCCAGUGUGGCAACACCAGAUGAAUGAAAAAGGUUCUACCAUGUUAUCAAAAUCAUGUCAUUCUCACUUUCCCUCAACAGUACCUAAAUUUUAAAAAGAAUAUAAGCAUAAUGAUGAAAUACUACAAAAGUAUCAAUUGAGAUCACACUGCACUCAAUGAAAAUUAUCCAUGUUUAUGAAAAUAAAGAUCUGUAUCCAAAAAAAUAGCAAA
ensembl:lncRNA MIR4458HG MIR4458 host gene